GUGUCAGCCGCCGCGGUAAGACAGAGGGGGCAAGCGUUGCUCGGAAUUACUGGGCGUAAAGGGCGCGUAGGCGGGAUGGCAAGUCGGUCGUGAAAUCCCUCGGCUCAACUGAGGAUCGUCGAUCGAUACUGCCGUUCUUGAGGAUUGCAGAGGAGACUGGAAUUCCCGGUGUAGCGGUGAAAUGUGUAGAGAUCGGGAGGAACACCGGUGGCGAAGGCGGGUCUCUGGGCAAUUCCUGACGCUGAGGCGCGAAAGCGUGGGGAGCAAACGGGAUUAGAUACCCCCGUAGUCC
rnacentral:rRNA from 1 species